UGGGCGAAAGCCUGACAGAGCAAAUACCGCGUGAGGGAUGAAGGCCUACGGGUUGUAAACCUCUUUUCUCAAGGAGGAAGAUCUGACGUUACUUGAGGAAUAAGCAUCGGCUAACCCUGUGCCAGCAGCCGCGGUAAUACAGAA
rnacentral:rRNA from 1 species